rnacentral:rRNA from 1 species
UGGGGAAUUUUGGACAAUGGGCGCAAGCCUGAUCCAGCCAUGCCGCGUGCAGGAUGAAGGCCCUCGGGUUGUAAACUGCUUUUGUACGGAACGAAAAGCCUCUUUCUAAUAAAGAGGGGUGACGACGGUACCGUAAGAAUAAGCACCGGCUAACUACGUGCCAGCAGCCGCGGUAAUACGUAGGGUGCGAGCGGUAAUCGGAAUUACUGGGCGUAAAGCGUGCGCAGGCGGUCUUGCAAGACAGUGGUGAAAUCCCCGGGCUCAACCUGGGAACUGCCAUUGUGACUGCAAGGCUGGAGUACGGCAGAGGGGGAUGGAAUUCCGCGUGUAGCAGUGAAAUGCGUAGAUAUGCGGAGGAACACCGAUGGCGAAGGCAGUCCCCUGGGCCUGUACUGACGCUCAUGCACGAAAGCGUGGGGAGCAAACA